rnacentral:lncRNA from 10 species
CAUGAAAAACCUUUCAAAAAAAUCAAUGGGCCGGGCGCGGUGGAAAAAAAAACAUGGGGGGAACUGCAAUCUUUGUCCUCAGUGCAGACUCUAUUCAUAAUUCUGGCACAUAAUUUGUGCUUCAAGUUAAUGAGCAACUUGCCAGUAUUUGAAUGGUUUCAAGGUUUUCAACAGAAAUUUAGGAUCCUAUAUGAUGUUGCUCCUACCUAACUGGAAAACCCUGCCUUCCUGCACAUUUCCCAGUAUAUCUUGUCUCGGGGUCUUUGUUCAUGCUAUUCCUGUGUCUGGAAUUCACUUUCCAAGCAAUCCCUUUCUCCAUAUCUUAGCUAACGCCUCAGAUCCCCAACAGGAUUAACUCUCCCUGCUCAGAGCAACAACAUUCAGUAACCAAUCAAUACUCUGUCACAUUAGGUUUUUGUCAAUCUGAAAUAUUGUGUAGCGGAGUCAAACCUCCCUUUUAAAGAACCUGCUGUGGGGAGUGUAGUUGACUGGCAGCCUACUGUUGCCACACUUUGGAAUUUGAUGUGAUAUUGAUUUGGCUGUGAUGCCAUACUUCCUCUAAGCUGCUCUUAGCCACUGACUGAGCAUGGUAGGAGAGAUAUGAGAUUCAGGUCUUUAAUGCUCCCAAACAGGACUUUUCUAAUGGGCAACUUUUGCGUGGCAACUCCCAAUCAGCCUAGCGAAAUCCCACUCAAAGAUGUGCCCUGUCUGAGGCUCUUCCUGCCUGAGGCUCUUCCUGCCCAAUCUUUCUUCCUCUCCCUUCAUAGUUGUUGUAUCUGACUCACAGUCUGAAUGUUUCUCCUGCCUUUUGCUUCCUCCCUUUUUACCUUUCGUUAGCAUUUCCCGCAAUAAAUCUCUUGCACAUCUAAUUGUCUGAUUCUCAGAGGACCCACACUGACUGCCUGGCAGAGUAGGAAGUGUUCAACAAUCUGAAGAUUGCAUAGAGUUUUGUCUAUAAAAUACAAUUAACUCCUGAGAAGAAUAAGAUGUAUAUCUGUUUUCAAAUUUGACAUUGAUAACCACUCACUACCUUCUUCUUGAAGUCCCUCCCUCAACUUCUGAAACAACUGGGAUCUGUAGAGAAUUACGAGUAAGAUUUCAGGGACUUCAUGGACCUUCUGAAACUUACCCAUUAAGAGCCUCUGGUCUGCAAGACAAGGUCAAAAUUCUUAAUGUGGCUUUUCAAACACCCAGUAAGCAGCCCCAGCCUACCUCUAGCCAUACUGAAGUGCUUGGGUUUCCUGGGGAUGCCAGGCUCUUUCUCAUCCUCCUGCCUCUGCACUUGCUGUUCCCUAACCUGAAAUUCCAACUUGUCUCCUUGCCCUUUUCCCUAACUCACACUGGCUAUUGACCUGGAAAAUCCCUACUCCUCUUCCAAGAGUCAGCUAAAACAACAGCACCACUUCAAAAUCUUUUCCAUGUCCCCAGCACAAGCACAAAACUUCUUUGUGCCACCUGCCCCCUUACUCUGUCCACAGCUCUGUGAUAAAUUUAAAUGUAUUUUUCUUAUGUGGCUUCCAAAACAGUGGUCUCCUUGAAGGCAGGAGCUGUUGUACUUUUCUUGGCUUCCCAGCACCUAGUACAGGGCCUGUCCCACAGUGGACACUCAAUAAGAGUGUUGUUCUUGCUGUUGUUGCUGUUGUUGUUACUUUCAAUCUAUGAAUACCCACACUGAAUGCUGCACCCAACCAGCUGUGUGACCUUAUGGGCUCACAAAACAACUCUGAGCCUCAGUGUUUUCUUCCGUAAAGAAGGGAUAAUAAUAAUGAUGACUUCUGGGAAGUGCUAUCACAAAGAUCAUGAAUACAAACACAAUGGAGGCAUUUCAGUCCUUGCUUACUGGCCCUUUCCAGUUCAGCACUGUUGAUGAUGCCCUCCUUCUGAACACUCUCUGUUCUCUAUUCCUUUUGUAUUUCUCUUACUUUAUUUCAUUAUAGUCACCAAGUCACCCAAGUCAAAACCUGGGUGUGAUCUUUGAGUCCGCCCUCCCCCUCAUUCACUAGUUUCAAUCAAUUACCUAUCAAGUCCUGUACCUUUUGCCAUCUGAAUAGUUCCUCUACUUUCCCACUGACUGUGGACUAGUUUAGGUCACCAUCACCCCCUGGGGCUAUUACAAUAUUAUAUCAACAAAUAACUAGUCUCUCUGCAUCUGACCCUCAUGCCCUCCAAUCCAUUCUCUACACCAAUGGCAUAAAUCUGACCAUGUCACUCUGCCACUGAGAAUACUUCAUGACUUCCUGAUGCCUAAUAAUGCAUAACUUUUAAUGAAUGCUUGCUUGCUCCAUGGCUAGCAAUAAAAAAGUUGGGUAGGCAUCAUUAUUAUUCUAUGAUGUGAAUGAGGAAUUUGAAGCACAGGAAGGAUAACAAUGAGCAACUUGCCAAUGUUUGAAUGGUUUCAAG